rnacentral:misc_RNA from 1 species
UUAAGUUCAGCGGGUAUCCCUACCUGAUCCGAGGUCAAAGACGGUAAAUGUGCUUGUUGGACGCGAGCCGUAGCCCCUCGAGAAGCGCAAUGUGCUGCGCGAGAGGAGGCAAGGACCGCUGCCAAUGAAUUUGGGGCGAGUCCACGCCCGGAGGCGGGACAGACGCCCAACACCAAGCUAGGCUUGAGGGUGUAAAUGAC